rnacentral:rRNA from 1 species
AGUCACUGACAUUAGACUACCCGGUAGUCCCAGCCGUAAACUAUGCGCGUUAGGUGUACUGGUGACCACGAGUCGACCGGGGUGCCGAAGGGAACCGUGAAACGUGCCGCCUGGGAAGUACGGUCGCAAGGCUAGAAACUCAAAGGAAUUGGCGGGGGAGCACCACAACGGGUGGAGCCUGCGGUUUAAUUGGACUCAACGCCGGAAAUCUCACCGGAUAGGACAGACAUAUGAUAGUCGGGCUGAAGACUCUACUUGAUGAUCUG